CAGCAGCCGCCGCGGUAAUACGAGGGGGGCAAGCGUUGUUCGGAAUUAUUGGGCGUAAAGGGUGCGUAGGCGGUUUGGCAAGUCUUAUGUGAAAUCUCUGGGCUCAACCCAGAGUCUGCAUGAGAAACUGCCGGGCUUGAGUAUGGGAGAGGUGAGUGGAAUUUCCGGUGUAGCGGUGAAAUGCGUAGAUAUCGGAAGGAACACCUGUGGCGAAAGCGGCUCACUGGACCAUAACUGACGCUGAUGCACGAAAGCUAGGGGAGCAAACAGGAUUAGAUACCCCCGUAGUCCCUGUCUCUUAUAC
rnacentral:rRNA from 1 species